rnacentral:lncRNA from 1 species
GCGAGGCACGGCGGCGAUACCGACCGGGCUCUCGGCAUGGAAAUAAUGACCUGGCUCGGUGGAAACAUCACCCUUCUCUUCGCAUAGUGGCUCCGGAAUGCGUGCGGAAUUUGAAGAAAACAAAGGACAGACGUGGUGUGUGCCUGGGAUGGAUCAACAGCGCCGGGGCGCACAUGGGCAGCAGCAGCGUCACGGCAGAAUUUGGUUUCUUCUUCUCUCUAGUGAUGUCCUAGGCUGAACUUGCUUUGCAGCUCCUUCACACCAAAGGUAGCUUAAAUCAGCCAAGGAGGAUUUUGCAUCCAAUCAACCUCACCCUCCUAAUGAAAGAGAUUGACUUCAUUAGUCUCUGGCUCAGACACCUCACAAUAAGGUGGAGUUUCUAUUUCAUAGCAUUCAGAGGUGCAGUGGACAUAGUCUGGUCUUUAUUUCACUGUGCUCUUUCCCUCCCCGCCUCCUUCUUUCACCUACAGAGCAGGACAACUUGGUUUUCUCGGGAAGUAUCAACUCUUCUGGCUCUUUUCCACUUUAAAUUUAAUAAGAAUAUUCUGAUGUUGUUCACUUCACAGAAUAAUAGAAUUAUGGAAUAGUUCAUUUGUGAAGGGACUUUAAAGAUUAUCUGAUUCCAGGCACUUUCCACAUCCCACUAGAACAGGCUGCUCAGAAAAAGAUUAUGUCCAUUGCCAAAAGGUUAAAAAAGUUACUUUGGAAUUACAACAGACAAACAUUACAACAGAUCUUUCCCUGUGGUCAACUCCAAGACCUAAUUGCCACCACAGUUUGAUUUGAGCCUUUAAAAUCAUUCUGAAGCAGAGUUAAAGGGUUGUUGAGGAUUAUGAUGCCUUUUGUUUGUAGUCUUAAUAAUCUGUGGCCUUAAAAUAUGAUAUAAUUUUAGGGCAGCAUACUGAAGUCACAAACAAUGGAACAAAUUGCACUUGAGUGAGGCAGAAGCUUACAUCACCACCAAAAAUGCUAAAUCCAGAUUGGGACCCUGUCUGCAGCAGAAUCAUGAGGGAGGAGUGGCACAUGACUUAGAGUCAUUAGAGUCCUUUGUCCUGUAAAUCUGCAUUUAACAGCAGUGUAUAUCUGCGUUUCUAAACACAUUUUAACAGCUAAUCCCAUAACUUUUAUUUUUCCUACUUCAUAUGAUAAACUUUUUAAUCCUCUUUCUUCCAGAACCUGCUAAGUGCUUCUCGUUAACUACUGAAAAAUGUAAUUUAUUAAGGCAGUUCAGUAGUUAGUCUUACUUUGCAACAGGCAAACUAAGUUAUGCAAACAACACUGCAGUGUUGUUGCAGUGACUUCCUUCUCCCAGCUUUAAUGAAUUCCCUGCAUGCUACUCUGCUGUAAAUUCUCCACCUAAAAAUUCCAUCCACUAUGUGAUGUGUCAGGGGAAACCACACUUGACUUUUGAAACAGUUGGGAGGAGCAGAAUGAUAACCUACUAAAGUGCCUUGCCCUUAACAGAAAUUAUGGCAAGCAAUUAAAGUUAGAGCAAAAAU